AGCCGCAAGGCCGGUCACUAUCAUACCUCCCUGUUGGACUUCGGCCGAGCUUAGUGCUCGGCCUUUUUU
rnacentral:ncRNA from 1 species